CCUACCUGUGUUCUCCUGAUGCUCCUGAGAUCUCCAAAUAUGCAGAGUGAACAUAAACUAGAUCGAUCUUGGCUCUUGUCCUGCAUUUCCAGCAUGUUCCAGAGACCUUUUCAGUGCUGAAAUAGCUCCUGUCUGCUCAGGGCAGGAAGCUCAAGGUUGCUCUUCAGGGGCACUGCCAGCCCUGCGCAGACCUUGCUGCUCUUUGUAGGGUCAAGGUGGGUCUCUAGGCACAGGUUGCGGUGUGUUCUGAAUGAGCAGCAGUUCCACCAUGCUGUGGGAAGCAAACACCUACACCCAUUCCUUGCACACCAUGCCCAUGGAGCCAGCACGCCUGAAAGGCACAGCCUCCCUGCCGGGAAGUGCCAGAGUGCCCAGACGGAUGCAGGGAUGGAGCAGACUGCCCAGAGGUGCAUGGCUUUAGAGUCCUGGUCCAGCGUGCAGGUCCAUCGCCUCCUGAAGAAGUUCAGAGCGAGCAGGUCCAGGCUUGGCAGAGUGAGAAAUAGAAAAGAAAACGAGGGGGACAGUGUGGAAGGGGUGGCUGGCUUCUCAUUAAGGAGCAUUUCAGCUGCUGGUCUGAAGGAAGACUUUGAAAAGAAAGCGCAGAGCCCUCCUGGCAGGGCAGCGAGCCCAGCUGCCCUCCCCACGUCUCACUUUUUAUAAAUUCUGGGAAACACUUUUAGACAGACACUGGCACUCAUAAAUUAUACAACUCAUUUGCAUAUUCCAGUCAUGAGACAUUAUGCAAAUGUGACCUGAUUUGCAUAAUGGAUUCCUCUCGUCGCUUCACUUGCUUCAUGCUUUUAAAAAACAAAAUGAAAUAAAAUGAAAGCACAAGAAGGUGGAAGCGAUGAGUUCCCAGCCCCGCCGCGUCUCCUCCCAACCGCACCGUCAUUCACCAGCAGAGACCGGGGCGAGGUAGAGCGAAAGCGAAAAAACAAAGCCCUCACAUGGUGUAUUUCGCCUGUAAUUACGACCAUCUAACUUUCCCCUGGUUGAGAUUCUUCACCCCAAGUGACAUAUCGGAGCCAACCGAGGAAACAAAAAAUGCCCUGGAAAACAGGAUAAGCAGAAAAGGGCAGCGUUCCCCAGGCUCCCCGCCCCAGCACCUCCAGCUUGCGCGGAUGGGAGCCCCGCCACGCGGCCGAGCUGCCCUCCUGCUGCCCCUCCAGCAGAGCCCGUGCAGCCAUUGAGCGCAGAGGGGAGGGAGCAUUGGGACUGUUUGUCGCAAAACACGAUGGUGACAUCUUGGGAAGGAUGAGACGGGCGCACAUCAGCUUCCUUCCGCCGUGCUCCAAAGACAGAGCCUCUGCAGCCACCCAGCUCUGCUGUGGGCGCAUCCCUGCCCCCCUGCACCGCACGAGCGGCAGCGCCGUGCCAGGCGGCUGUACCCUGUGGGAAAAGUUAACUGUAAUUCUUCAGCUUUUAAAAUCAAUUAACCCGUGUGUUAAUUAACGUCAAGUCGACGGGAGGAGGAGGAGGAGGGGAGAGAGGGAGGGAGGAGGGAAGAAAAAAAAGCUGCAAGGGCGGAUGGCAGAAGAGUUGGCACAGUGCCAUCCAUUCAGUGGCAACGCCACAGUUCCGUGUGAUAACGGCAGCGGGUAUAUGUUACGGGGGCCCUGUGCGCGGGCCAGACAGUGCGGUAACGCUAAGGGAGAUUAUCCAGACCCCCAGGAGCAAGCGGCGCGCAGUGAGCAGAGGCGCAAGUGCCAGGAUUACAGACGAGGCUCUCCGCCGCCAGCCCUGCCUUGGACACGCUCGGCUAUGGGCACAGCACGCCGGCUUCCAGCACGUUUCCCCCUUGAACGUCAUUCUGCCGCAGUGGAGCCAGCACAACGGAUGCUUUCACACCCCGCGAGACAAAGGCCGUCGUCUCCGCCAUGACACCGCGCCGCUCCAUGCCGAGGCCGGCAUCUUGGAGGCUUCAAAAAUAAAGGGAAAUCGGCAACGCGGACAAUAAAAACGGCAAAAGAAAAAGGCUUGGCAACAACCCCCUCGUGCCCGCUCGCCGUGCCAGGGGCAACAUGGGCAUCUGUCGCAGCAGAAGUGCCAUCUGAGGCUGUACCAACGCGGGCGACGGACAGUGCCAUUCGCCAUUCGGACAAGCUGAGGGAGAGGUGCCAGCCCUGCAGCUCGGGAGGGACCCGAGAGGGGAGCACGAAGGUCUCCAAACAGCACGCCGAGGGAAGGAAGGAAUACCGCUCUCAUAGGGCAGGAUCACAGCUGCACACAGCCUCUGCUGGGAGGAGAGGGAAUGUUUGUAGAUAGCGAGAUGCCUGUGUAUGCACAUACACACAGAGCAGUGUGCGUGUGGACACACAUACACACAUGCACACAAUGCCUCAGAUAAUUGCAGAUUAGAAGUAUGAGUGUGUGUGCGUGUGUGCGGAGAUGUGUGUGUACUGUGUGCACACAUACAUGUGCGGGGAUAUAUAUCUGUGUGCACGCAUGUAAUAUGCGUACAUACACGUGUGAGGAGAUGUACGUUUGUGUGCUUGGGAGAGACAAAUUCACACACACACGCAUCCACACAGUGUGAGCAUACAUCCCACUUUUUGACCUAGGUAUACACGGAAGACAAAAUAAAAAUCAUACUCCAGCAGCAAGCAGGCAGUCAGAGAUUUAUCUACAUUCACUGCUAUCACCAGGGAGAUGAAUGGGGCCGAUCUGAAGCCCUUUGCAAGAUCCACUAUAGGAGUGAAGGAGGAGGAGGGAUGCCACACAGACAUGCACAAACUUGAAGACAGAGAGAUUUGGAAGGUGCUACUUGUGAAACCCAGGUGGCACUCCGGAGGGUGAGCGAGGGAAAGAGCCGCACACACUCUGCAGGGGCCGGAGGGCUUUUGGAAGAGGGCGUCAAGGGACAGCUGGCUACUUACGUUGUGUUGUCUGCGCUGCUGAGGAUCCUGCAAGGUGUUCUGUUGGCACCGGGCGCUGAGCCAGGGAAGGGCACUGGAAACAAAAGGGAGAGACAAAAAAUAAAGUCACACAGCGGGAAUAUUAAUUGCCUCUCUUGCGGAUUUUACAAAACACACAAAAUGUUUUCUUCUUGCUGUUCCUUUUUUUUUUUUUUUUUUUUUUGUGGAUUGGCGCGAUUCCCCUCUGCGUGGAAAAUACUAGCAUGGGAUUUACAGCCCAGCUACAGGGCUCGGGAUUAACAGCGCUGGCAUCUUUUGGGCAUAUUUUUUCUGUUAAUGAAUGAGCUUUCGCUGUUAAUGAGGAAUAAUCGUUUGGCUAAUGAGCUUUGAAACAUUAAGAGAAAAGAGGGUUUUUUUCCCGUUAAUCGCCCUGGUGCGACCGCAUGGAUGGAUUACAAAAGACAGCAGUAGGAACGCAGUACAAAGGGGGGGAAACGUCUCCUGGAGUGGGAUAAAUGCAGAGAUGGGUGAUGUGUCCCCGCAUCUCUCCUUCCUUCCCUUCCCUCUCUCUCUGCCAACUGCUAUGGGUUUCCAUAACUCCGCAAUCAAAGUGGAUAUUCGGGAAAGAUUAUUAUAGUCAAACAGCGGAGUGUCGGCUGUUAAUGUCUCCAGUGUUUAAUCAUCAUACAGUAGAAUGGUUUUAUGCAUAUUUCAUUUGCAUAUCAUUAAACUGCAUUAGCACAGGACGUUCAGAGCUGGAGAGGUACAAAGUUGGGGGGAGAGAGAGGGAGAGCGAGAAAGAGGCAGAGGGAGGAAGGUCCCUGUGAUGCCUAUCUUCAAAAGCAGGGACUUGUUCCAUGGUCUGUCUUCUACUUUUCCUAAAAUCAUGGUGACUUGGAAACCUUUGAAGUUGGAUAUAACCUUGGAUUCUUCUAAUUUCAGCAGAGUGAUGUAUUAGAAAGGGGUAAACGAUGCUGCGCUAGACAUUUAAAGGAAUAUAAGCUCCAGUGGAAUGGAAAUAGGAGCUCUUUGGGGAACAGACUGGCAGAGCCAGCUGCGGCUUCAACAAACACCACAUUUCUUGGUUAAUAUUAGUAAAGGAUACCAGAGUAAAACAAAAGAAAUGAAGACAACAUAUACAUUAAGAUGGGGAUUAUAUUUCUCUUUCUCUUGCUUUUCUGUUUUUUUUUUUUUUUUUUUUUGAAGAUAAAAAGGAGGAUGGAACCAGCGGUAAUUUAUGCAUUAAUUAGCAAGCAAUUGCCUCUUGUGUUUGUUUUUCUUCUCUCUUUAUUUUGGAGAGGGGUGUUGUCACUGCCGAAGAGAUUAAUCAAUUAUUUGGUAGUUCAGAUCCUUCUCCACCGGCACCGAUAGGAAUGAGGUGGUGGUGGUUGCGGGGGGAGGAACACAGUGGGCUCUUUGUAGGUCUUAUACAUGCACAACAUAUUAAUUGGGGUCUUUAUAAAGCUCCCUCAAUAGACUGUUUCUUCUGUGGUAAAACAGCAGCUGGUUAGCCACUGUUGGCGACUCUUCAAAUAUCAUUUUUGCUGGGGGCAUUUCUACCGCUGUUUGUUGUUUUGCUUUAUUUUCUUUCCCAAUGGAGGGGGCUGCCCGCGCGAUGCUAUGCUGCCCGCUGGUCUUGAAUGGCAGAAAGAUAGACAAUAUCAAUAUCGAGACGAUCUCUUGAGCUGAAUGCAGAACUUUGCUUCAAAAUGAAAUGCUGUUUUAUAUUUAAAUUUUCCUCCUUCUCCCUCCCCCACGUUUCUUCUCCAAGUCUUUGUCUCGGCUAUGAAUAUUCAGAUGAGCUGUGAUGUGAUUACACUGUACAAUUACUUUCGUCCAUGGUAGUGGCAAAGGCACUGAGGAAAGACAGAGCCAGACAAGCUCAGAGCUCAUUUGGGGUUUGUUUUCUCUAUUUUUGCCCAUCUCUGUAGCGCUGCAGCACAUGCAGAUGUCGCUGUUGUUCUUUAUAAUUCUUUAUAAUGAUAUGCAAAGGCAUAACGACCCCAUUUGGGUGCACAGCAUCAACGAUAUAUUAUUGGGGGGGGGGGGGGGGGGGGAAUCCUGACUGAAGGAAUGUCCACAUAAAUUAUUUUUAUUUAAAUCAGUUGAAGGAGGUGGUGGUGAAGCAGAGGAAGUCACAUGAAUACAUGCAUAAUGUUAAUAUGCAGAAAGGUUAUUGCCAAGGAGAAGAGUGUUUUCUGCACAGCGCUUGGGACAAACAGGCUCAUUAGGGAAUAGCACAGCCCACUGCGUGAUUUACUUAUUUAUCAUUACUCAUACUUAAGCUGGGGCACCAGUCAUGCUCACUGCCUGGAGACUCUUUGAGGACCAGGAGCUCAGUGCCUACACCAUUCCCUGCUUCCAUUCAGAAAUUUCAGUGAUAUACACGGUGGGAGGGGGACAGGAAGAGGAACUGGAGGGAGAAUGUGUUAAGUGCCAUGCUUCAGUAACAAAGGAGGAGCUCAAUGACAGCCUUGUGGGUAAAGUGACAACACGGCAGUGCGUGUUAGUGUUUAGAUGCUGUUGCUGGCUCAAGGCAGGCUUCUGUGCAUUGCUUCAGGGACAGUACAAGUGAUGCAGUGCCCAUGCCCUGCCCACUGCUCUGUGCCUCCAGCACAGGGAUGACAGUCUGGGAGUGGGCUGCUCCCAGCCACAUGUGCCACCAGGAUACUGAAGGUGGGACAGACCUGGCAGACAGUGAUUCCUGGUUCCUGGGCUGUAUCAGCAGAGGAAUGGCAGUGGGGCAGGGAGGGGAUUGUCCCCUCCGCUCUGCUCUUGUGGGACCCCAUCUGGAGCACUGUAUACAGGCCUGGGGCUCCCAGCACAAGAAGGAUGUGGAACUGUUGGAGCAGCUUCAGAGGAGGGCCACAAAGAUUAUCAGAGGAUGGAGAAUGUCUCCUAUGAAGAUAGGCGGUGGGAACAAUGCUUCUUCAGGCUGGAGAAAAGAAGACUGGGGAGACCUCAUUGCAACCUCCUAGUACUUGAGGGGAGCUUAUCAACAGGAGAGUGGUAGGACAAUGGUGAAUGGCUUUAAACUAAAAGAGUGGAGAGUUAGAUCAGCUGUUGGGAAAAAAAUUUCUACCCAGAGGUGGUGAAGCCCUGGCACAGGCUGCCCGGAGGGCUGUGAAUGCCCCAUCCUUGGAGAAGCCCAAGGCCAGGGAUGGGGCCCUGGGCAGCCUGAUCUGCCCACAGCAGGUGCACUGGGACUACGUGAUCUUUAAGGUCCCUUCCAGUCUAAGCCAUUCUGUGAUUCUGUGAUCCUCUCUCACCUGCUUCUUCCUCAGAACGGGAAUUGUUAUCACUUGAUAUUUUUAACACACAAAUGUGUGUGUAUGGAGAAGAACCUCUUGGCUGCUCUGUGCUCUGCUAGGAAUGCUUUUUUGGAUCAGGGUCUUGUAUGUACUUAGGGUUAACAAAGAUUUAAUGGGCCAUCACAGAACAGCAACGCCCUCAUUGCAGCGUAGUGACAUUAGCGAAGGACAUUAGAAAAACCUGCUUGUGUGCCCGCUGUGCACAGAUCCUGAAUCAGCCUCUACAACGCCCAUGGUGUAAGAAAGGCUCAUACUGCUGCCAGCCUUAUCUCCAGAGAAGGACCAUGGCUUUAAACACAAGAAGAGAACAGGCAGGAUGGAAAAUAAAGACUUGCAGGUGGGACCUGUUCUCAGAGGAGCUGUCCUCUCCUUCCAUCCUGUGGGCACAUGCAGAUGCUGCCAAUAACUAGAAACACUACUGAGCAGAUCCCCAGCUGCCAGACCGGGGUUGUUUCUCUGCCUUUUAAUAGUGUCUGACAAGGAUAUGGUAUGAGCAUCUGUUCAAAGCAGGCUGUGGAGUCCUGAGCAAACAGCUACCAGGUCUUCAAGCAGGCUCUAUCACUAAAAGAGCACCAAGAACCUUGAACAGAAGGAUAAGGCUCUCAUCUAAGGACUAAUGGGCAGAGGAUGCAGUGGCCCAUAGCAAAGAGGGACUGCUGCCCAAUGCCUGAAGAUUCAUAACUAUGAUCUCAUCUAUUAGUUCUCCGAAUCAAGUUCCUUCCUGCAUCUCCACAGAUGCAUUUGUAAUGCACACGCACACACCCUUCUGUAAAGCCACCUGGGAAUCUGAGCACAAGGCAAGUCUGCCAGCUCCGAACAAAAACAGGACACCAAUACCACCUCUAGGCAGGAAUCCUAAAUCCAGCCUCUCUCUGCUCAAAGUUGAAAAAGUGCAAAAAUUCAAGGCACAAGGGAAGUCUGACCAUCAGCCUGACUUAGGGUUAGAUAUGAAUAUCCCGUCCAUGACCACACAACACUCUUGAAGGCCCUACUGAGACACGUUACCAUCCAGACAAAAUGCAACUGGUAUGGCAGCCAGCCAGACCUCAGAGAGUACCCUAGAGCCUGUCUGCUGCAAGGCACUGAGCUGCUGCCAUGAGCCGCAGUGACCCAAGCAGAUCACCUCCGCCUCACCCACCCAUACCAAUGGCUUUCUGACCCCAGCGCAGUGGAUCCCAUCAGCGACUCUUUCUAUAGGUAGCAGGAAGAAGAUUACAGAUGGGAAAAGAAGCACAGGUUGUACCAUAUAAGCAAUGUGUGUGAAGCAGAGGAGUGGUGAUGCAGCUCGCAGCAAGAGGCAGUGAUACUCUGAGAUGCCCACACUGCUCUGCAUACUACCAGGGAUGCUCUCACACAGCUUCUGCAGGGCUGUUCUGGCCGUGCAGGCUGCUGCUGCUCUUUAACAUGCACAGCUGUGAAAUAUGACUGCUGCUGUUUCAAACUACUCCUGAUUGCAAAUCUGUGACCACUGUGAAGUGAAUCUCCCCAUGGAGACUUUAGAAAGGGGCAGCUAUUAUAAUGCCACAGGAACCAUUGCUCUGCUUGUCAUUGUACCAAGCACCCUGAAGAAAUGGCUGUUUAGAAAAGGAAAUUCAAGAAUUUAUGAAACAUAUUGAUAUUCAAAAAGAAAGAAAAAAAAUAGAUUGUUUUGCAAAUAGUAGCACUGCUGAAGAGUGGAAAGAAGUGCAUCAGUCAUUUGAUAUUACAUAUAAGCUGUUUAUUAAAGAAUUAAAUAUUUAUAGACUAUAAAGCAAGCAGGGCGAUGAGUCGCAAACAGCUUGCUGAGAAGUAUGUUAUAAACAAUGAGUCUGUCAGUGACUAAUAAAGUAUGGAGAACACAAAUGUUUCAUGAACCACCAGGUCAGCUAUCAAUCCCCAAAGCCACUGAGGUUCCUGCUGCAGUGCAAGCCUGGAGCCAACAUGGAAGGGACAGUGUCUGAUGAGAGAUGUGGAGCACAGACACAUGCUGAGCACUCGUGGGAAUGCACAUGAUUCAAUGCCUUAGAGAGAUUUACUUUUUCACAUUAUUUUAAACACAGAUCUAUUAAUAGGAAGUGCAGGAAUUUUGGAGUUCGAGACACUUCCCUCUUCAGUUUUUCACUGCAUCUACUCUUCCAUUUCCAACAAAACUACAGUCUGUGAUUCAGACUGAAAUUCCUCUCUGCACAAAGCUCUUUCGUUCCCUCACAGACAUGAAAGGUGCAGAUACUCCAGGCACCAGCUUCCCUGUUCUGAGUGACGGCAGACACCUCACACUUAUAAAGGCUUUUUAAGAGGAACAAAUAGUUUCUAGCCCAGAAAGACAGCAAUCCCUUUCUUCUUAUUAUUAUUAUUUUUAGAAGAAACUGACAAAAGUGUGCACUUUAUACUAUUUGAGAAGGACAUCCCUCAUUUCUCAAUAGCAUACAGACAUCGAUCAUAUUAAUUUGGAGGAAAAAGCUGCUUUAUUACUAGUGGAGAUAUAAUUAAAAUCUCUUCAGAUUAUUUUUAUUUUUCUGGGUGCAGCCCAAGGCCUAGAAAUUAUUUCUAAUGGAGGACAAGCUGAUACCUUUGGUCAUUUCAAAGCUGAUUCCUAUAACAGUUCUCACAGUUUCAAGUCUGGUAAGAUGGCAGAAGCUCCCAAGUGGUAUCAGCAUUUGUGACCCUUUAGAAUUUACUCUCUUUGCAAGCCAGCAGGAUUUAGACCUGCUUCAAAAAUCCCAGUCACCACAAAUCCCACUCCUCCGACAGUCACUGUACUAAAUAUCAUCCUCCAAGGCUGCAAGCCAAAGUGUUGUCUGCUGAGACAACGAGGGGAGAAUCCAUACAGAGAGAGGAGACAGAACUGGUGCCUUCUUGCUCUCAAACGUCGUCCACUGAAGAACCAUAUUAAAUUAACACAGGUGUACGCAGGCUGAGAACCAACCAGGCUUGGGGAGGACAGAUUCUGUUUAAGUUGUAGAAAGAAACUCCAUUUUGCCAGCUGUUCUUUCUGUAUUUAGAUAAGGUUGUAGAUUUUAAUCCUCCGAAACACAAGUUACAUCUUUUUACUGUUAAAAACCAGUAAUUAUUCAAGCUUAUUUUCCUGGGAAGAUACAUCAGACAAAAUUUCGGCUUAAAGAGCAACCUUUGCUGUUGUGUGUGGAAAUAAUUACAGCAUGGUUUGGAUCUCAGCAGACCUUUAGGCUGACAAAGGAGGUAUACAGAAAAGCACAGUCCAAUCAAAGGCACAAAACCCAUUAGUUCCAGAUGACUCGUUUGCAGCGGUCCAUCUCUGGAGAGCACAGAGCCUAUUAUCUUCAGGGAUCCCGACAGGCGAGCACGGUACCUUCCAGAGAGCACUGUCACCAGCCUGAUGGAAGAAUCAGACUGCUCCAUCUGUUCCAGCACCAUCCUGUGCUGGUGGGACCCUUCCUAUCUCCCCCAGCUUCACCAGUUAUGGAGCACAGCAAGAAACCCUAAGCGUGCGCUCAAACUACAACAAGACCAGCUGAGCUGGAAAUGAAAACUCUGUUCUCCGUUCUCCUCUCUCCUUGCAGUCCAGCUCUUUUAUCUCUCCAUACCAGCCAUCAUUUACCCCUGAAGAGUUGUCUUUACCUGGGUGAUUUUAGCUACUGUUACUCUAUCGUUCUCCUAACCCACAAUUCUAAAACCAUGGAACACACUUGGCUUAGGGUUACAUGUAUCAAGGAGCUUGCCUCCCUUCCAUAGACCAGUCUGUUAGCAGGAUACAGAGGUCUGCUCCUGAUCCACUCUCAUCUCUUUUGUUGAAGAGUACAGUGCUGUGCUCAUCUCCAACUAGCUCAACAACACCGGGCCAUCAAAACACACCACUUCAGGACAUAACUCACUCACCCAGGCUUUGAUGCACUUUUCUAUUCCAUAUUCCCUCUGCGUUUCUUUGCUCCUCCAGCUGCCUUUAACCCCUGCCUCCAGGCACACUUCAGCACUCACAACUCCAGAUACUCUUUUGCUUUCCUGACUGUCCUCCUUCCACUCAAGCACUUUGGUGGAUUUUGAGUUGAUUGAAAAACAGGCACUGUUGGAUGAAAGCUCCUUACUUCCACUUGUUUGCUGUGGCCAUGCAACUCCCAAAGGCUGUGGAGUCGCAGGAGAAAACUGCCCUGGGAGGAUGGUUAGAAGCACUAUAUAGUCUCAAGUAGCAUGAAGUGCAUUACCAAAGGCUCAACAGACCAGCUGGGUCACAUCUCCACAAAAACACGUACUUUGUUGCCCAAUAUCUGGCACACAUCACUUGGAAUACAAACAUAUCUCAGUGUGUUUUGAGACAAUUUGUUGUCUACUAUCUACCAUUCUACAGUUCUGAAAGUACCUUAUCCCCUAUUCUCAUGGAUUCAGGUAUCAAAUAGAGAAAAUACACAGGUACUUCAUAUAUUUUGUUAUAUAUGUUCCCUAUGUACAUUGAAAGGGCAUUAUUUUAUUUUAAUGGACUCCUUUAAGGAAUAUUUGUCAUUUCAGAAGUCUGCGAGUGAGGCUACUGCUUAGCACGUUCCUUCUGCCUGCCCUGCCAGAUAUAUGGCUACAGGAUGCUCUUGAAGCACCUGGCAUGUGUCCCACAGAACCAUUGCCUCCCAGCAGAGCACAUGGAAGUGCUCUUUUGCUAAUAUGAUGUAUGGCUGUCAUGUCGCCUGUUGGUUUUAACACUGCAAUCUUUGAUCACUGAGAACCGUUUGAGUCCACCCUGCAGUCCCUGCAUCCCAAAGCAGUGGAUCCUGAACAUCCUGCACCCUUCAUCAAAUGCCAGGCUGAGGUUUUACCAUGGAUUUAAUCCAAUAUGUCUGGAUAAUGACCAAGGAAUGGAAGAGGGACAUCCCGCCUUCCUCCAGCAUUGGCAUUCCUGCCAUCUCCCACAUGACGUUACCCCAUGCCAGUUCUUACCCAGAUAACUCACUGAUGUAGCUGGUGAGCAGUAGUGGUACCAGUAUAAAGGAGGUGAAAGAUCACAAGUUAAAAGCUAGGAAGGGAAGAUUACAAGGUUGGAACUUUUGCUUUAAACAUGGGAGGUUAUCUAUUUUAAAACAACAAUUAUUUAUUUAUUUUAAUUUUAACAAGAACACUAGGAAGAACAUUUGUUAGUGUAUAGGCUGCUAAUAACUGCCCAUGGAGGAACUUUUCUGUAUCUGGUUGAAACGAGAACAACUAAGUCAAUUCCUGAUUUAUUCCAACCCAUCAUUUCUCUGCAUUCCUAUUGUGUGAGACAUUUUUGCCUUGCUGGGGUCCUUGAGAAACUGAGCAGUGCUUCAGAUGUCAUGCUUGGAAAGAGAACCCCAGCUGGUUCUGGGUAGCAGGGGGGUCCAUGUGCAGUGGGACUGGCUCUGUACUCUUGUCAUCAUGGAGAACAUCUGAGACCCUCUUCUGGCAGAUGGUGACUCAAUAAACAAAUCUGAGCUUGUCUUCAGUAACAGAGUGUUAUUAUAUAAAAGCUUCCAAAUAGAAAACGAUCAAUGUGCUCUUAGGAGAUAUUGGAG
ensembl:lncRNA